ensembl:lncRNA
GAGGGGAGUGAAGUCACUCAGACACCCACCAUACUCUGGGAACUGAAAGACAGUGAUGCUCUGAUGAACUGCAAUCACACUAAGGGAUCUACCUACACCCAGAUGUACUGGUACAGACAGCUUCCAGGAGAGGGAAUGAAGCAGGUAGUUUACACAAGUAGUUAUAGCGAUCCAGAAUAUGGAGACUUCAGUAAAGACAAAUAUCCAACUGUUAAGGGCUAUAGCUGAGAGUGGAUCUUUCACAGUGAAGAAGAAGUUGGAGACAGGAGACAGUGGAAUGUACUUCUGUGCUGUGAGUGAACACAGUGAUACAGACAACAAGUACAGCUGCACAAAAACCCCAGUAUUUCAAUAGGAUGUAAUAUAAUAUGUAAAUAGAUGGUCUCAUCACAUACUGUAGGGGACCUCUAACUCUAGUUCUUCUAAUGUCUGAUGGUUACAUUGUCAUGAUCAUGUAAUCAGUCAUGUUCACAGUGAGGUCCUAUGAGCAAGCUUUACAGUACAGGCUUCCUGACACUCCUUCUAACACUGUCACUAUCCUCCACCCUGAGGAAACAUGCUACUACAACAGCCAAUCUCCUUUCACCUCAGAGCUUCACCCAGGAGACACUCAUAUCACAUCCUCAUCAUCAUCGUCUUCCUCAGCAUAUUCAUCAUCUUCAUCAUCAUCAUGAUAUUUUUCUUCAUCAUGAUGUUCAGAGUUCUGAUUCACCUGGCAGCUCUACCACUCUGGGUGACAGGGCAGGUGUUUAGUAGCAUGGUUCAUCAGAGGCCUGUGGCACUAACAGAAGGUCCUGGAGGAGACGUUCAACUCACCUGCAGCCAUACGAUCUCUAACUACUACGUGAUACUAUGGUACAAACAGUCAGCAGGAGACACUGCUAUGAAACUCAUUGGUUAUGCAUAUACCAAGUUAAUAACCAUGGAGAAAUCAUUUGAAAAGCACUUCAAUGUGAGUGGAGAUGGUGGGAAAGAGGCUUAUCUUCAUCUAUUGAGUCUGAGAGGACCUGAACACUGUGCAGUUUAUUACUGUGCAGCCAGCCAACACAGUGAUGUAGACUUCCUCCUGUUCUCUACUAAAACCCUGUCUGAUGGUAAUAUUAGACCACGGCUCAGAACACCUGCAUCUGAGGUUUGACUUUGACUCAAUGCCAAUGAAUAAACACAGAUGGAUGAUGGCAUAAGGUGAUAUCUGUCCUAGUACAGUAUACCAGUAUUUACAGUUUACUGUCACCACUCAUUAACAUACAUUAUGCAAUGUUACAAUGUCAUAUUCCAUUACUCCAUUUCUAUCUCUCCCCUCUCUCUCUCUCUCUCUCUCUCUCUCUCUCUCUCUAUCUCUCCCCUCUCUCUCUCUCUAUCUCUCCCCUCUCUCUCUAUCUCUCCCCUCUCGCUCAAUUCAAUUCAAUUCAAUGGCUUUAUUGGCAUGGGAAACAUGUGUUAACAUUGCCAAAGCAAGUGAGGUAGACAACAUACAAAGUGAAUAUAUAAAGUGAAAAACAACAAAAAUUAACAGUAAACAUUACACAUACAGAAGUUUCAAAACAGUAAAGACAUUACAAAUGUCAUAUUAUAUAUAUAUACAGUGUUCUAACAAUGUACAAAUGGCUAAAGGACACAAGAUAAAAUAAAUAAGCAUAAAUAUGGGUUGUGUUUACAAUGGUGUUUGUUCUUCACUGGUUGCCCUUUUCUCGUGGCAACAGGUCACAAAUCUUGCUGCUGUGAUGGCACACUGUGGAAUUUCACCCAGUAGAUAUGGGAGUUUUUCAAAAUUGGAUUUGUUUUCGAAUUCUUUGUGGAUCUGUGUAAUCUGAGGGAAAUAUGUCUCUCUAAUAUGGUCAUACAUUGGGCAGGAGGUUAGGAAGUGCAGCUCAGUUUCCACCUCAUUUUGUGGGCAGUGAGCACAUAGCCUGUCUUCUCUUGAGAGCCAUGUCUGCCUACGGCGGCCUUUCUCAAUAGCAAGGCUAUGCUCACUGAGUCUGUACAUAGUCAAGGCUUUCCUUAAUUUUGGGUCAGUCACAGUGGUCAGGUAUUCUGCCGCUGUGUACUCUCUGUGUAGGGCCAAAUAGCAUUCUAGUUUGCUCUGUUUUUUUGUUAAUUCUUUCCAAUGUGUUAAGUAGUUAUCUUUUUGUUUUCUCAUGAUUUGGUUGGGUCUAAUUGUGCUGCUGUCCUGGGGCUCUGUAGUGUGUGUUUGUGUUUGUGAACAGAGCCCCAGGACCAGCUUGCUUAGGGGACUCUUCUCCAGGUUCAUCUCUCUGUAGGUGAUGGCUUUGUUAUGGAAUGUUUGUGAAUCGCUUCCUUUUAGGUGGUUGUAGAAUUUAACAGCUCUUUUCUGGAUUUUGAUAAUUAGUGGGUAUCGGCCUAAUUCUGCUCUGCAUGCAUUAUUUGGUGUUCUACGUUGUACACGGAGGAUAUUUUUGCAGAAUUCUGCGUGCAGAGUCUCAAUUUGGUGUUUGUCCCAUUUUGUGAAGUCUUGGUUGGUGAGCGGACCCCAGACCUCACAACCAUAAAGGGCAAUGGGCUCUAUGACUGAUUCAAGUAUUUUUAGCCAAAUCCUAAUUGGUAUGUUGAAAUGUAUGUUUCUUUUGAUGGCAUAGAAUGCCCUUCUUGCCUUGUCUCUCAGAUCGUUCACAGCUUUGUGGAAGUUACCUGUGGUGCUGAUGUUUAGGCCAAGGUAUGUAUAGUUUUUUGUGUGCUCUAGGGCAACAGUGUCUAGAUGGAAUUUGUAUUUGUGGUCCUGGUGACUGGACCUUUUUUGGAAC